UUUUUAUUUUAUCUUCAUCUAUAUAUAUAUAAUUAUAUUUAUUUGUAUUUA
rnacentral:sRNA from 1 species